ACGGGGGCCCGCACAAGCGGUGGAGCAUGUGGUUUAAUUCGAUGCAACGCGAAGAACCUUACCUGGGCUUGACAUCCCGGGAAUCCCUUGGAAACAAGGGAGUGCCCUUCGGGGAACCUGGAGACAGGUGCUGCAUGGCUGUCGUCAGCUCGUGUCGUGAGAUGUAGGGUUAAGUCCCGCAACGAGCGCAACCCUUGUCUUUAAUUGCCAUCAUUGAGUUGGGCACUUUAAAGAGACUGCCGGUGUUAAACCGGAGGAAGUGGGAUGACGUCAAGUCCUCAUGGCCUUUAUGCCCAGGGCUACACACGUGCUACAAUGGGUGGUACAGAGGGUUGCAAUACCGCGAGGCGGAGCCAAUCCCAGAAAACCGAUCUCAGUCCGGAUCGCAGUCUGCAACUCGACUGCGUGAAGUCGGAAUCGCUAGUAAUCGCGGAUCAGCAUUGCCGCGGUGAAUACGUUCCCGGGCCUU
rnacentral:rRNA from 1 species